rnacentral:rRNA from 1 species
GACGAACGCUGGCGGCGUGCCUAAUACAUGCAAGUCGAACGCAUUUUCUUUCACCGUAGCUUGSUACACCGAAAGAAAAUGAGUGGCGAACGGGUGAGUAACACGUGGGUAACCUGCCCAUCAGCGGGGGAUAACACUUGGAAACAGGUGCUAAUACCGCAUAAUUCCAUUUACCGCAUGGUAGAUGGAUGAAAGGCGCUUYUGCGUCACUGAUGGAUGGACCCGCGGKGCAUUAGCUAGUUGGUGGGGUAACGGCCUACCAAGGYUGCGAUGCAUAGCCGACCUGAGAGGGUGAUCGGCCACACUGGGACUGAGACACGGCCCAGACUCCUACGGGAGGCAGCAGUAGGGAAUCUUCGGCAAUGGACGCAAGUCUGACCGAGCAACGCCGCGUGAGUGAAGAAGGUUUUCG